GACGAACGCUGGCGGCGUGCCUAACACAUGCAAGUCGAACGGAAAGGCCCUGCUUUUGUGGGGUGCUCGAGUGGCGAACGGGUGAGUAACACGCGAGUAACCUGCCCUUGUCUUUGGGAUAACUUCAGGAAACUGGGGCUAAUACCGGAUAGGAGCUCCUGCUGCACGGUGGGGGUUGGAAAGUUUCGGCGGUUGGGGAUGGACUCGCGGGUUAUCAGCUUGUUGGUGGGGUAGUGGCUUACCAAGGCUUUGACGGGUAGCCGGCCUGAGAGGUUGACCGGCCACAUGGGUACUGAGAUACGGACCAGACGCGUACGGGAGGCAGCAGUGGGAAAUAUUGCGGAAUGGGGGGAAGCCUGAGGCGGCAACGCCGCGUGCGUGAUGACGGCCUUCUGGGUGUAAACCGCUUUCGCCUGUGACGAAGCGUGAGUGACGGUAAUGGGUAAAGAAGCACCGGCUAACUACGUG
rnacentral:rRNA from 1 species